UGAUUACGUCCCUGCCCUUUGUACACACCGCCCGUCGCUACUACCGAUUGGAUGACUUAGUGAGGUCUUAGGACCGAAGUGAUGGAGCUUUCAUUAGUUCUUUCGCUUUGGAAAUUUGAUCGAACUACGUUAUCUAGAGGAAGUAAAAGUCGUAACAAGGUUUCCGUAGGUGAACCUGCGGAAGGAUCAUUAACGAGCGAUAUAAAAAAUUAUAUUCAUUACCAGCAGCAUGACGGAGAGAGGAAAAUGCGCUCUCCAGCUGCUGGUCAUUGAUGCUGCCAGACCUGAUGGGAAACGCGGUAGGCGCUUUAUAUAAUGCGCAAAGUCCGUCCAUCAGGCUGCUGGAAUUAGCAGCGAGUGGCGGCUGACUGACCGCUGAUAGAAGCUACACAAGCUUAGUCUCAGCUUUCUGGUCACAAGACUGCGUGGGUGUGUUGGUUGUAGUCAGGCUACCCAAUCUCCCGGGAUUGCAGUGUGACCGGAGGGUGUGCGUGAGUUUUCGCGCCGAGCGAGUCUAAGGGAAAAUAUUAGCUAAUAUCAGUACGGGGCACACACUCCAGGCUAAUACGUGUACAGACGUUCGGGAUUAAGUGAUUGAGCGAGUAACGGGGAAAAUCCUUACCGUGAAUAGCUCAUUGCUUGAUUCUUCUUCGGGUAUCUAUCAGCACUAACGCUACAGUUCCGUCUGGCUGUAAAGAAACGCGUCAGUGCUGGAAUCCAUCAAUCACCCUACAGUGGACUGGUAAAAAAGGACCAGUCUGCUGAUGGGUAGGUGGUGAGGUUUAAAGAGUCGUUGGCUCCAAUCUAUCGAUACUCAAAUCAGCUGGUGAAAGUUCAGCUCGAUGCGAGGGUAAAUUGGAGCGACUGUGUUCGGACACUGAGGGAAAAUUCAUGUCACUCAGUUCGGAUCAGUUCUGGGCGUUCCGUGUCGUUGCUUGAUUGCGCGCGCGGGACGUCCGGCCGACCGCCCGGAAUAAAAACCAAUACAUAAAAAGCUAAUAUUCUUACUCUGAGUGAAAGUCAGAGAAAGUAUAUCUAUAAAGAAUCAUAGAGAUUCCAUUCUAAGCGGUGGAUCACUAGGCUCGCGGGUCGAUGAAGAACGGGGCCAGCCCCGAGAAUAAGUGCGAAUUGCAGACACAAAGAGCAUCGACUUUUCGAACGCACAUUGCGGUAUCGGGCCUACUCGAUACCACGCCUAUCUGAGGGUCGAAUAAGAAAAUACUAUAUCGGCUUGUUUGACCAUUGUAUCCUUAUCAUUAGAUUGAAAAUAUGAUGAUGGGGGAUAUUGGAAAGUUGGUCAAACUGAGAAAAGGACUUGAGACGGCUGUUCGGAAAAUUUUUGAUAAACCCGUCGUCGUUAAGUCAUAAGGCGCUAGUGAUCGCAGUGAUGGAAAAUUAGAUAUCGCUGCUUUCCCAUGGUGUGCCAGUGAAGGAUAGAAUGACAUUAGAAGCAGUGCUGGGUAGUGGAAGUAAAUUCUACCCUCUCUACUAUAUAUAUCUCUCUAUUCGGCUAUUUUGAGACAAUGCGCUUGUGUAGCGUCGAUUUGGCCAUGCUCUCUUCAUUGCGAGGAGAUGGAAUGUAUCAUGGUUCCAAGUCGAGGUAAAUAUGCUACCAAAGAUAUGCGUGCGUUCGUCUCUUAUUAUUAGUAUUUGACCUCAGAUUAGACGUGAUUACCCGCCGAAUUUAAGCAUAUAACUAGGCGGAGGAAAAGAAAUUAACGAAGAUUUCCUUAGUAACGGCGAGUGA
rnacentral:misc_RNA from 1 species